rfam:Parcubacteria (Yanofskybacteria) bacterium GW2011_GWC2_41_9 TT84_C0031, whole genome shotgun sequence.
GGAGGGUUGGCAGAGCGGCCUAAUGCGCCAGUUUCGAAAACUGGUUGGGGAGCAAUCCCCUCACAGGUUCAAAUCCUGUACCCUCCG